rnacentral:lncRNA from 1 species
AUGCUGUUUCUCAUUUUGGAUUUCCUUUUCUGCACCCCCUGGACCACUGCAGGAGGAUCUGGCUGCAAAUCACCGAGGUGUUCCAUUCAAGCUGCAGAGUUGUCUGUCGUCUUUGGACAGCAGUCUCCUCCUCCACGGCUGCUUCGGGGGAGUCCGACACCCAUCAGCAGUCUGGAGCAAAAUGAAAGAGCUGAUGUCGAGGCCUCCCAAGUAGUGCGGCUACAGACCAUGAGCAAGAGAGAAGGAGGAGAGCUCAGCCUGCACGAACGAUCCUGGAACGCACAUGGUCUUGGGUCUAGGCUUUUCACAUUGACUUUCUCUGCUGCCUCCCCUUCUGCUCAAGCAAAAUCUGUCUGAGAAGAUCUGAUGGGAAGGAACUAACUGCUUAGGACUCUCCCUUGUGAUGAAAGCACAUGUACAGGUAAAUAUCUCUGGCAUCUUUAACCAAAAAUAGCUCUCAUUUCAUUGUAAAAGAUCCAGGGUAGUCGUGGGGAUGCUUACAUACCUAUUCGCAUGCACACUCACACACACACACACACAAAACAAACAUACAUCUAUAGAUUGAUGCGUUCUCCAUCUCUCCAUCUCUUUAUAAAAACGGACCUCUUGCUUUUUGGGAAAGAAAUUAACUGCUACUUAUUUUGAGAUCAUCGGCUAGGAUGAUAACAAGGCGUUAAUAAGAAAGGAGAUAACUGGCGAUUGUGUUUAUCAGUUCAGCUACAGAGACCAUGUCCCAUCAGAUGG